rnacentral:rRNA from 1 species
GUGGGGAAUAUUGGACAAUGGGCGAAAGCCUGAUCCAGCCAUGCCGCGUGUGUGAAGAAGGUCUUCGGAUUGUAAAGCACUUUAAGUUGGGAGGAAGGGCAGUAGGUUAAUACCUUGCUGUUUUGACGUUACCGACAGAAUAAGCACCGGCUAACUUCGUGCCAGCAGCCGCGGUAAUACGAAGGGUGCAAGCGUUAAUCGGAAUUACUGGGCGUAAAGCGCGCGUAGGUGGUGUUGUAAGUUGGAGGUGAAAUCCCCGGGCUAAACCUGGGAACUGCCUCCAAAACUGCAUGACUAGAGUACGGUAGAGGGUAGUGGAAUUUCCUGUGUAGCGGUGAAAUGCGUAGAUAUAGGAAGGAACACCAGUGGCGAAGGCGACUACCUGGACUGAUACUGACACUGAGGUGCGAAAGCGUGGGGAGCAAACAGGAUUAGAAACCCCAGUAGUCC